UGUUAGAUGUCGCUGUAGAUUUAGCAGCACUGUACUGUAAAAAUCCACAGUACUAUACUGUAUGUGUACAUUACAGUAAAGUACUGCAGUUCAUAGUGCAUUCUGGGUAAAUUUGUUUGAGCGGGAAAAUUUUACAGUAUAUUUUGGUCUUGAUGUAACCUUGCUGUAGCCAUUGCUGUAAUGUGCCAGGUGUACUUGCAAUAAUCAGAGAAAGUGCGCCAGAGUCAAAUCACACAGACAGAGGGAGAGCACAACUCCUGGCUGCAGCUGAAGGAGGACGAUUGAUUUCUGUCAGUUCGCUCUAACGUUACAGUUUGCUCCACUUUGCUCUGUGGUUUAUAUGUUUUCUUCUUACCAUUGCUUGUAAGCUGGAUUGAGUAAGAUGGAUCAUCUUUAAAGGAACCAGGAGUUAAGGCAGAUGUGGAGGCACACGGGUGACACCAGACACACACCAAGCAUAUUGUUCGG